rnacentral:rRNA from 1 species
GACGAACGCUGGCGGCAUGCCUAAUACAUGCAAGUCGAGCGAACAGAUGAAGUGCUUGCACUUCUGACGUUAGCGGUGAACGGGUGAGUAACACGUAAGGAAUCUACCUAUAAGCGGGGGAUAACAUUCGAAAACGGGUGCUAAUACCGCAUAAUAUCUUCUUCCGCAUGGAAGAAGAUUGAAAGACGGCUCUGCUGUCACUUAUAGAUGACCUUGCGGUGCAUUAGUUAGUUGGUGGGGUAACGGCCUACCAAGACGAUGAUGCAUAGCCGACCUGAGAGGGUGAUCGGCCACAUUGGGACUGAGACACGGCCCAAACUCCUACGGGAGGCUGCAGUAGGGAAUCUUCCGCAAUGGGCGAAAGCCUGACGGAGCAAUGCCGCGUGAGUGAAGAAGGCCUUCGGGUCGUAAAACUCUGUUAUAAGAGAAGAACAAAUUGUAGAGUAACUGCUACAGUCUUGACGGUAUCUUAUCAGAAAGCCACGGCUAACUACGUGCCAGCCGCCGCAGUAA